rnacentral:rRNA from 1 species
AUGCAGUCGACGAACCAUCCUGUUGAUUGAAGCUUGCUUCUUGAUUCAGAUUUUGGUGAGUGGCGGACGGGUGAGUAACACGUGGGUAACCUGCCCAAAAGUGGGGGAUAACAUUUGGAAACAAGUGCUAAUACCGCAUAACAACUGCUUUCACAUGAUCGCAGCUUGAAAGAUGGCUCUGCUAUCGCUUUUGGAUGGACCCGCGGCGUAUUAGCUAGUUGGUGAGGUAAUAGCUCACCAAGGCAAUGAUACGUAGCCGACCUGAGAGGGUAAUCGGCCACAUUGGGACUGAGACACGGCCCAAACUCCUACGGGAGGCAGCAGUAGGGAAUCUUCCACAAUGGGCGAAAGCCUGAUGGAGCAAUGCCGCGUGAGUGAAGAAGGUUUUCGGAUCGUAAAACUCUGUUGUUGAAGAAGAACAUGCGUGAGAGUAACUGUUCACGUACUGACGGUAUUCAACCAGAAAGCCACGGCUAACUACGUGCCAGCAGCCGCGGUAAUACGUAGGUGGCAAGCGUUGUCCGGAUUUAUUGGGCGUAAAGAGAAUGUAGGCGGUUUAUUAAGUUUGAAGUGAAAGCCCUCGGCUCAACCGAGGAAGUGCUUCGAAAACUGGUAAACUUGAGUGCAGAAGAGGAAAGU